UUCCAAGGCUCUCUGGCUGCCGCCUGGAGGACAGCCUGUAGGAGGGCAGUGAGGAGGCCCGUGGUCCCCGCAAAGGACAAUGUGGCUUGACUGGGUGGUAAAUGCGGAUGAGACAAGCGCCACCACUGGACCCCAACGCAGGGGACUCAGGGAGCGCCCUAGAAGCCCCGCAGAAACGACCUUUUGGAAACCAACCUGUUGGGUAUGGAUGGAGAUCUCCAGGAGCUUCUCGUGGUGGUGGUUCUCCAGGUCCCGGCACUGAGCCAUCGUGCAGGCAAG